CACCAGCCCCUCGAGUGGUGGGGACUAUUAUUUGGCCUAAAGCGUCCGUAGCCGGCUGUAACCGUCUCCCGUCAAAUCCAGCGUCUCAAGCGUUGGACUGCGGGUGAUACCUUGCAGCUUGAGGGUGGGACAGGUGAGCGGUAUUUCCGGGGUAGGGGCGAAAUCCUUUGAUCCCGGGAGGACCACCAGUGGCGAAGGCUGCUCACUAGAACACGCCUGACGGUCAGGGACGAAAGCUGGGGUAGCGAACCGG
rnacentral:rRNA from 1 species